rnacentral:rRNA from 1 species
ACUCCUACGGGAGGCAGCAGUGGGGAAUAUUGCACAAUGGGCGCAAGCCUGAUGCAGCCAUGCCGCGUGUAUGAAGAAGGCCUUCGGGUUGUAAAGUACUUUCAGCAGUGAGGAAGGUGGAUAUGUUAAUAGCAUAUUCUAUUUGUACGUUAGCUGCAGAAGAAGCACCGGCUAACUCCGUGCCAGCAGCCGCGGUAAUACGGAGGGUGCGAGCGUUAAUCGGAAUUACUGGGCGUAAAGCGCAUGCAGGUGGUUUGUUAAGUCAGAUGUGAAAGCCCGGGGCUCAACCUCGGAAUUGCAUUUGAAACUGGCAAACUAGAGUACUGUAGAGGGGGUUAGAAUUUCAGGUGUAGCGGUGAAAUGCGUAGAGAUCUGAAGGAAUACCGGUGGCGAACGGCGGCCCCCGUGGACAGAUACUGACACUCAGAUGCGAAAGCGUGGGAGCAAACAGGAUUAGAU